CGAAAUAAAUACCCAAAGAAAUAACUAGCAAGAAUAAAUAACACCACGCUUCGGACCAAUAAAUACUACGAUAAAUAAAUAAAUAAAUACCGAUAUAAAUAUUGCGCCAACUGGCGCCGUUAACGAGAUAUAUGCAAUUAAAUAUUUGAAUAAAUAAAUAAAUAAUAACAUACAUGUAUAUUCGGUCGACACCUAAGACACUCAAACUUCAAACACAUUCAACACAACACAAAACCUAACAACAAAAAUUCCUAACAGUUUUUCUUCUUUUUACAAGAUUCAUUAAGAGGGGGUCACGUGACUAGCCGGGACCAGUAACCGCUCCACUUUCUGCGCUCCACUUGACAGUCGGCCUACGGAUAUCCUACAAUAACGAACACCACCUUUGUGUGGCCUGUCAUCUACUCUAGUCAUCGCUCUAAGCGAUGGCCGAUAAACGAGAAGCCUCACGGUGCAUGAGCUCACUUUGCUUGUGAUUUGUUCCUGUCAUCCAUACCGAUCUGCCAUGACAACAGAUGCAUCGCGGGUUGUCUUUACGACUCCCGGGCCACCUACUCCUCACCACCUCUCGGCAGACAGACAACAGGUUCAAAAACACGAAAGCGGCCUUGUUUUAAAUAAACAGAUUUAUUCGAUAUCACAGUCCACCAGGCAAUGUGUCCGUCGCAAACUCCCUGUCCAUUUUUUUGUUGAACGGCAGUGACUUACGUUCACUUGCGACAUCGAAUAGCUACAAAAUGUUCAACUGUAAUUCCCGGGGAUCCAUCCCAAUCUGCCGGGACAGCUAAACUGCACUUCGAGAGCUGUCGUCUUCUCCACAAAAUUUAUUAUUGUUUUUCAUUCCCCCGUAUCUAAAUUUAUCAGCCCGAGUGACAUUUGUUGAAAUACCACCCGAACCUGCGUCAGUCCAGAUGCAUGCGAAUUCAAAAAUGAUUGGGCGCCAUUUGUUACACUUGCCUUGUUUCCCAGGCGGAAAUUCCGGCUAGCUGUCGACCCCAGGGCUGGGUAGUUCUCCUUGCCCGCCAAAUGUAGACAAAAAAAGGAGACAUACUACUUCUCGGGACAUCAAAACUAACAACAACCUAAAGACAAAGAAAAUCAUAAACAGACGGCUAUCAAUUGGGUGAAGCUUGGGUGUUAUCACUUCGCGCGCUCGCCCUACCUGUGACCAAACACAACGUACAUUUUGGCCACCCUCUGCUGGAACGGUAACGGCUGGCCUAAUCCAUGGCUUACGCCACGCGUCCUCCCUCUAUUUUAAUUUACUGCAUCAUGCUUCAAUAUAUAUCCAAGCUUUAAUAAUUAUAAAUUGACAAUUUCAUCUUUCUCAUUAAUAAAUAGAUAUGCUCAAAAUUAUCACUAACCAAAAAGAAACACCAAAACGUUCGACACAAAGGCAAACACGGAAAUAGCUGCUGAAAUUUCGUUCAACCAACAGGGAUACCCUCACCCAUACGUAAUGGAAUAUGUGUAGAUGAGUGGAUCUAGUUUUACGGGAGUUAAUUUAACUCGGGCCCCUACGGAGACUUAACCUACCAAGAGCUCUUUUUAAGGGUCCCCGGGAUUUAAACAAUAAACAAUAUUUUUGCCACAAAUCGCUCGACCAAAUACGGUGGACUGACGGGACCCCCGCGUCAUACACUAAGGGUUAAUCUUCUGGAACUGAACAGCUAAUCGCAGAUUUAGGUUCCUGAUAUGUGUUGGUGUUUUUACAUAUUUUUUUUUUCAAUGGCCAAGAUGUUACGUUAAACGGUUGAAGCUAAUACUAAAUACUAAAUAAAGGACAACACACGGAACAAAAUAACAUUUAAUGUGGAAAGGUGUUUGGAGUGCGGAUUAUGUUUUUUUUCCUUUAAGUUCAAACGACGUGAGCGAUCGCUGGCCGUGGCCGGUCAGCCCUAAAUUUAUAUAGGUCCGUGUAUACGUGUGCGCGUGUGUGUGUGUAAAUAGGGUUUCGGAGUU